GUGAAACAAAUAUUCAUCAAAAUGAAACAUUGACGUAGAAUUAUUCUUGAAAAACACGUACGGUAUAUCUAAUAUGUGCAUUGAUUACGUAGCAAAUAGGUGUACGCUAUAAGAAGAUUCAGCUUAAUAAGAAAAUUCAACUUAUGUUUUUAUAAAUUCAUUUAUAUUUGUUUAAGAUAUUAUAAUCAUAAUUUAUCCAUUUCUAAUAAUAGGUACAAUCUUUAAUAAUUUUACAAUUUUAAUCAUAUAUUAAGAGAUUUCGUUAAUAAUUCGAUAUAUAUAUAUAUAUAUAUAUAUAUAUAUAUAUAAUACCGUGAUAAAAAAACAAUUGAUAUCAGGUAUAUAUAAUCAUUUUAGAUACACAUUUAUGAAGAUAAAGUUAUCGAGACAUUAUUAAACACGUAUAAAAGUAAUGUUUCUUGUGUAAAAUUAUAAGAAUUAAAUUUAAAUUUCGAAUACUGAAUUUAGGUUAGGUUGUUCUAUAUUAGAUUUUAUAUUUUUAUAAAAAAACGACCUAAAUGAUAAAAAUUUUUUAUUAGCAAUAUUGCUUAUGAAAUAAAAUUAUUAAUGAAAACGAUUACUACAAUAUUUCAAGGAAAAUUUCAUUCACAUUCGAAUAGCUUGUGACUAUAUUCGAUGUACCAUCUGUAUCCUCGUACAAGUAUAAUAAACAUACUAAAACUAUCCACUCAACGAGUUACGAAAAUAACAGCGUGAACAGAAGCAGAAAUUUUCACUAACGAAUUAUUUUUGUAUCACUUUUGUAUUUUGCUAAUAUUAAAAUAUUAUAAUAAAUAUUAUAUUUUCAUCAAAUAAAAAAAUAUUUAUGUUUUAAAUCAACAAAAUAUUGCUUAUUCAAAAUUUAUCAUCUUAACUUAUACACAUUUAUAAAAGCGGUCGACAACUGUUAAGCAAUCGAAAAUAUUCAAUUUCAUAAAAUUCAGAGUAUUACGCGUUUAUGACAAUACUUAUUCAUUAUGGUUUAUUUGAAAUUACGUAUCGAGGUCACUGAUUCGCGUGACUAAGGUAUCCAAGAAUGCACAAGAUCUCCCGUGGCUGGUUAGAGUGCUCUAGAACGCUGAAGAUCAAGAGAGCAAAGAGUCGGUUUAAACCGUGUGCCCCGUCCUAACGUCGACUCUAUUAAUACCCGCGCCUUGUCGUCGCGUCUCGAGAACGUGUGCACAGAUAUAGAAGCAUUAAUACGACUGUCCUUUUUAUUAAAAAAUCUUCUGUUCUUAGCAUCGACAAAUCGAACAAUCAUUUUCGAGUUGAUCUCGAUAGUACGAAUAGUAUAUGAGAGAAGAUAAAUAAAUCGAAUACUAGAAAAUAAUCGAAACAAUUUUAACGCUUUAAAAAUCGAGGCAAAAUUGCGACGACAUGAUCUUCGAUAUGAACUCGACAAACGAAAGAAAGGAGUUGCAGCUUUAACAGGACAUGUCGUAGAUGUCGUAUAAGUGCAUUCGCAGUCAAUUAUGUGAUCAGCUACGACCAUUCGCUUCAUGAAGCUAUUAGGAACAAGUUAAUAGAAUCAUCGCACCGUACUAAUGUACGAUGGGUUAUGGUAAACAGAAAGAGGAAAAGGUACAAACUGUUGCAAUUCUAACUUAGCCUACAGAUGUCGUACGAGGUCUCAAGCUCGAUCGAGUCAGUGCAAAUACUUAAUCGACAAUGUCAUUUCACCCUUGUGAAAAGUUCCUUCACCGAUUCGAAUCGAUAAUUGAUUAAAAGAUCGCUGUCAAAGUACAACUAUAUUUAGCGAUUUGUUGGACAAGUCUUAAAUUAGAAAUGCAACAAUACUGAGCAAAAAAAAAAAGAAAAAAGGUUAUUUCCCGAGGACGGAUACACCCUAACCAUAAAUUCUAUUUUCUUCAUAUUCACUCACCUUUGAUGAUAAAAAUUUAAAGGCGAUUCACGUCUCGUGAGAUUAAAAAUAUCAGCAGCAGGAGAUCAAUCGGGCGACCACGGUCCAAGAAGGAAGAUUAUUAAAUGAUUGCUGCAACGACUUAGAAGGUGGAAAAAAGAUUUCAAACAUAGACGCCAUGAUGAUAAUUGAUGUUUUAGAGACUAGAGAAGGAACAUCUCGUGUGAUGCUACUAACCUUCUCUCGACCAGUGAUCGAUAUUCAAAUGAAAUUCCACAAGUAGAUCGAAAAGAGGAGCAAUAUGUAGUUUACGAAUAUAGACGACAUAACCUAAAUCAGUCAGUACUGCAAUUGCGACAAUGCCGAUGGCUGUGAAUCGCGGAAGGAGGACGACAGACGACCAUGCCUGACGACAGGAAUAUAGAAGAAAAGAACGAAAAGGAAAGGAAACGUGAAAAGCUAUUACAUUAAGGAGAUUGCAUUUACCUAGAAUGCAUACCUCUUACUUCACUGUGCAGCACUCUGGUAUACUGGAUAUUAAACUUAAUUUAUUUUGCCAAUGUUUAGUAUCAAGGAGGAUCGUACAAUUCACACAAUUCGAUUUAUCUUCAUUUACUCGAAGCACUCCAUUUGUUAAAUCGAACAGAAAUAUUAUUCUCAACUAUAAUUAAUUAAAAAGUUCAAGCCGAUGUUCAAAUUUUAAAAUAUUAUUUAAAUUUUUAAUCAUUAUAAUAUCAAUAAUAUCACUAAAUAAAUUUUAUUUAAUUUUUUUGAAAAAUUACAUAAAUAUUUUUUUAUAAUUAUAUAUAUAAUUUUUUCAGUUAUUUUUAUCAUAUAGUUUAUAGUAUGUAAUGUGUAUAUUCCGUUUCCAUAGAUGGUCAAGUAUUCGAUCAACAGAGUUUAGAUAGAUGAAUGUAAUGUCUGAUGCUAUAGUAUGCAUCGGUUACUUUCGCAAUUAAUCAAAAGUUUCUCGUAAUAGUGAAUGAACUUGCUAAAUUAAGGAUAAAUUAGCGUAUAACGUGACCUCGUAUCUGGUUAUCAAUCUCUUAUUAAUCUCAUCGAAGUUCGAAAAACUAUAUAACAUCGUAUUAACUGUACUUAUCGUAACAUAUUAUCGAUAGAACAUUUCACAUUAUAUCGAAUUCAUAUGAUAUAUUGUAGAUUUUAAUGCUUCUUCAAACUAUGGGAGAUUAAUCUGUAACUACAUACAAAAGAUAAACCAUCAUCUUCUGCUACAACUUGUCUUUAUAUUUUGCACAUACAUACUUCAAAAACUUAUCUUUUGUGACCAGAGAAAAAAUGUGUACCACGUGCACACAUUUUUGUACGCUUUCUAUGGACCCAACUGCGCGAGAGGUAAAUGAAAGGAUGUUUGUGCGUGUGCAAUGGCUGUGCACCAUAUAUAUAUGUACCUCAGAUGUGCUAAGUCAAGGUAAUGAUAAGCUCUGUAUUUUUUAUCGUAAACGUUAUAAACAUUUUUUAUAAAAAAAAAGAAUUUUCUCUCCAACCAUCUAUUUUUUCAAACACAGAGGAUUAAAAUUUAACGAAUGUUGUUUAAAUUCAAACUUCAAAGAAACGACGCUCGCCGCACGCGCUAACCUAAUAUGUACACUGCACGGUUUCACACUUGUUUUUAUUCAUUUCGUUCAUAGAUACAAAGUUUCUUGCCAUUUUAUCUCGUAAAAUUAUUGUUUCGUAUUAAUAUGUGGCAAUGAUAAAAGAGCAAACGUGUACAAUUCGUAUACAAUUGAGGUGGGUAUUAUAUUUCUGUUUUUAAUUUCAAUCGUACGAAAAUAUUAAGAGGGAAGGGGAUUGUAUUUUCAGAAUUAUCAGGCGAAUCAAAUUAAGUCAUGGCAAUGCCAUUUCUUCGAAAUUGUCGUAAAUAAAUGAAAAAUAUUAAAAUGGGAAAGGGCAGUCAAUUUAAAUUUAAACGCAAUCGAAUUAAUCUACAUCGUCAAUUAUACAUUUUUUUUAACACAUUUAUCUUUUCCCUCUGGCAUACUAUUUCUAAUUGCAAUCAACGAUAAUAACUGCAACGAAGACGAAUGUAAUUUUGUUUUUUAUAAUUUCUCCCUUUUAUAGCUUUAAUCGAACGCGAUACGUAACGAGAAAUAUUAACCUGUUCCAGUUUAUGGGAUUGGAGAAAAAGAUAAAAUAUGGAAAAUAAACGUAAGCAUAAUGGAAGAAUCGAAGGUGGAAAGCGGGAUAAAAACGGAUGGAAAAUACGGUCAAUAAUAUUUUUCAUGCGAAGAAUUUAAACUGUCAGUAAGAAACUUUGCGCAAUAGGAUUUCGACUCGUCUUCGAUACGAUAAAGGCUAAUUUUCUACGAAAGUUUGCACGACAGGUUGACAAGCCAACUUUCUUCUAUUAUCUCUAUCCAUGCACGCAUGCAUACUAAACGCGUGGAAAUAUAAAAGAAGGUAACUUUAUAUUCUUGGCGAAACAUUUUUAUAGAAUUAUAGCUAUCGUCACGUAUCGAUCAUUGGAAAGAGAGUUGUGAAUUAAUUUUGAAAUUGUACCUAUUAUAAACUUUAUCGAGUUUAUCGGUUUCGUGUAACGAAUUUAAUGAUAAAAUAUUAUACAUGCCAUGUUCUACAAUAUUAUUUACGGGAAUGUGCAAGACCUUUGAUCAAUUCAUGUUUGAUGCGAAAUUGUAAAAUUGUAAAGAAGGAGUAAGAAUGACAAAUUUGAUGAUAGAACGAAAUGGGAAAGUAUAUCUUUGAUUUGUAUUUAUUUGAAAAUAAAAAAAAUUGUAAAAAAAUUAUGAAAGAAAAAUCUAGAUUUUUAAACAAAAUUAUAUGAAAUUUAUGGUUGAUUUACGAAAAAAAUCAAAAUCAAAAUAAAAAUUUGUCUUUCUUUUCAUUAAUUUAAUUCUUAAAAUUUCAAUAUGUAUAUUCAAGAGAGAUAUUCAAUCGUAAGUAAAAAUAUUUUUUAAGUAAUGUAAUAAUUGCAUAAUGUAAUAAUUACUAAUUUCCACGCAUGAUUAAAGAAACGAAAAGAAAAGAAUAAGUUUAAAUAACAAUAACAAUAAUAAUUACACAAUAAGAUCUGGUAAAUUAAAUUUUUAAAAUUCCAAUGCACAUAUUCAAUCAUAUAAGAUAAAAAUACUAUUUCAAACAAAUAGCACAAUAAUUGUAGUCAAUUUUCACAUCGCACACAAUUAGAGAAACAUGAGGUAGCAUUGUGGCAAGCGCGUUGUUUGAUGGAAACGUUCGAAACAAAAGUGAAUACGAGGAUAGAGAGGCGAGAAGAAAGAAAGAGAGAAAGAAAUAAAGAAAAGAGCAGGAAGAAGGGGGAGGGGAGGAGGAGACAUGUAGAGGGCGCUAAAUCGAGGAAAUACGGUAAGCACCGGCACAUGGCAUGUCUUGUUCCUGUGGUAAAAAGUGUACAGGCUGCGAAAUGACUUUUUGCCCGUGGGCUCGAAACGGUGAAGGGUUGAACGAUCGCCUCCAGCCAACCAGAGUACAUUUUGGAUCUUUUUUUUCUUUCUUUCUUUCUUUCUUUUUCGGCUUAAGUUGACCUUACGCGUUAGAAGAGAAAGUUUGGAUCGUUCGUUAAGUUGUACAGGCUAUACAUACACUCGGAAUUACGACACUUUCCGUUCGUAAUUUUCCAUCCCUUUCUUUCCUCUUACUGCUAUUUACUCUUAAUUAACAGCGAUCCACCCGUGUUUUUCUAUCCGACAAAUUUUUUUUUCCUCCCUCUAAUUUUCUCUCGUUCGCUCCUUAUUUCGAACUCAAUGUUUCUACGUUUACACUUAUUUACGAUAUUUUUGUUUUGGAUGAUACUGCAGGAUUGAAACGAAUUUUUUUAACGUGCUUUUCCAAGAUCAAUUAUUUAUGAGUUAAUGUAAAUGAUUACGAUUGGAAAAAUUUUAAUAUAUGAUGUUAUCAAAGUCGAAGAUUUGAGGUUAGGAAAAUUCGAACAAAUUGAUCAUGAUUAAAAAAAUUUUAUUAUAUAGUGUUAAAUCACCAAAAUUAAAAAUUUGACAUUAGAAAAAAAAGAUAACUAGUAAAUCUAAGUAAAACUAGUCAUCUAAGAAUUAACAUAAUUAGUAAUAAUCGAAAAAAUUCCAACGAAUAAUAAAUAUUUCAUGAAAAUCAAAGGAACGACAUAUUUCAUAUUUCUUGUCGACUUAAAAGUCGAUUCAAUAUUUUUUAUUGCCAAUAUAAUAAUAGGAAAUUUUCCUUUUUUUCUUUUACUUCUUCGUUAUUUCCUGCAUUCGUAUCGUAUCUCAUGCAUAAUCUCCCAUAAUGCAUGCAUUAUGAUGUACAAAAGAGGUAUUCGUAGAUCGAACGAGCGUCGAAGCGAAUCGAAAGGACGAUAUAAAACAAUAAUUGCCGAUAUACACCAUCCAUUAAAGAUACUUGUCAUGAAGUAUGCAGGUUGGGUACAAAUAGAGGUGAUUUUUGGCGCGGUUUCUCUUACGAUGCCAUCGAAAAACUGUCGGACUAGUUGAGUAGCGAUAGACAUUUACCGAUGGCCUGUCAAAAAUUCAUUUUCGCGCUUUUCACCUGUCAAUACGCGUUACUGUAUGCAUUCCAUCCCCACGUUCUCUCGUUAUUUACAAAUCGAAUUUUAUGUAAGAAAAUUCUAAUUUUUAUAUGGAAUAUGAAAUAUGGAACAUGAUGUAAUUUUAAAAUUUUGAUCGAUGUUUCAUCAUUGUGUUAUCAAAAUUUUACGUGACCAAAAUUGAGAUAGAAUUUAAAUCCUAUAAAUGUUUCAUCGAGAUUUCCAUGGACGAUUAAUUAAAAUUUCCACAACGUUCAUUACUAUUAGCAACACAAUUACCGAUCUAUCGAUCAAUCUUCACUGAACAAUAUGUAAUAAACAGAAUAACCAUGAUCGACUUCUUAUCUAUGAACAAUGUUCAAUCGAUAAUAAUUGUCUUUUCUUUUUCGAAUAAAAAAUAACGGAAAAAAAAAGAAAGAAAAUUGUUAAACACAAUAUCAAAAAUUUGGAAUCACUUUCAAUUUUCUGUUAUUUUGUAAUUAAAUCGAAUAUCUCAAACAUCGACAAACAUUAUUUUUUUUAACAAAUUUAAAAAAAAAAUACACCAAUAUAGUACCCAGAUUUAAUUUUCAUUUCAAUUCUCAAAUUCCAUUAA